AUUGAACGCUGGCGGCAGGCCUAACACAUGCAAGUCGAACGGUAACAGGAAGAAGCUUGCUUCUUUGCUGACGAGUGGCGGACGGGUGAGUAAUGUCUGUGAAACUGCCUGAUGGAGGGGGAUAACUACUGGAAACGGUAGCUAAUACCGCAUAACGUCGCAAGACCAAAGAGGGGGACCUUCGGGCCUCUUGCCAUCGGAUGUGCCCAGAUGGGAUUAGCUAGUAGGUGGGGUAACGGCUCACCUAGGCGACGAUCCCUAGCUGGUCUGAGAGGAUGACCAGCCACACUGGAACUGAGACACGGUCCAGACUCCUACGGGAGGCAGCAGUGGGGAAUAUUGCACAAUGGGCGCAAGCCUGAUGCAGCCAUGCCGCGUGUAUGAAGAAGGCCUUCGGGUUGUAAAGUACUUUCAGCGGGGAGGAAGGGAGUAAAGUUAAUACCUUUACUCAUUGACGUUACCCGAAGAAGAAGCACCGGCUAACUCCGUG
rnacentral:rRNA from 1 species